UAGGGAAUAUUGGACAAUGGGCGAAAGCCUGAUCCAGCCAUGCCGCGUGAUAGAUGAAGGCCCUCUGGGUUGUAAAUAUCUUUUAUCUGGGAAGAAACACCUCUAUUCUUAGAGGCUUGACGGUACCAGAGGAAUAAGCACCGGCUAACUCCGUGCCAGCAGCCGCGGUAAUACGGAGGGUGCAAGCGUUAUCCGGAUUCACUGGGUUUAAAGGGUGCGUAGGCGGGUAUAUAAGUCAGUGGUGAAAGCUCCGGGCUUAACUUGGAAACUGCCAUUGAUACUGUAUAUCUUGAAUGUCGUAGAGGUUAGCGGAAUGUUGCAUGUAGCGGUGAAAUGCUUAGAUAUGUUACAGAACACCAAUUGCGAAGGCAGCUAACUAUGCGAUGAUUGACGCUGAGGCACGAAAGCGUGGGGAGCAAACAG
rnacentral:rRNA from 1 species